rnacentral:lncRNA from 1 species
UUAUCGCUACAUUACCAAACCAUCAGUUGGCUGGUGUUCUGAGUGUGAUGAAGGGCUUUGUGAAGAAUGUAAAGAUCAUCAUAGUAUUUCCAAAGGAACAAGAAGUCAUGACACUGUAUCUAUUACCGAAUACCAGAAACUUCCAAACGAUGUUUUAUAAUUGACACGUUCUUGUGAUAAGCACAAUGAGAAAUAUGUGCUAUUCUGUAAAAAGCAUGACUGUCCGUGCUGCAAGAAAUGUGUAAUUAAAUCACAUAUGGAAUGUAAAGAACUGACCGAUAUCGAUGAUAUUACACGAAAUAUCAAUUCUUCAAAUGCGUUAACAGACAUCGGACAUACCUUGUCAGAAAUAGUAGAGAAUAUAAGAAGACUUCGAAAUGACCGGGAAGACAAUUUGUCGACGAAAGAGAAAAAGAGAAAAGAUAUUGAAAAAGAGGUUCUAGAAACUCGUGCUAGGAUCAAUCUUCAUUUAGAUAAACUGCAGAAUGCCAUACUGAAAGAUCUGAAAACAAGAGAAGAAGAAGACAUUAACAAAAUACGACGAUUACUGAAGUCAAUGACAGAUAAGGAAGAAGAGAUCACAGAACUCCAAACAAAUAUUUCCAAUAUAAAGCAGUAUGCAUCAGAGCUGCAAACCUUCCUUGCUUUGAAACACAUAGAAAAAGAUGUCGUAGCAGAAGAAAAGCACAUUCAAUCAAUGGUCAAAAGUGAUGGUGCGAACCAAGUUGACUUUUCGUGCAAAAUUAAUCCGACAUUGCAAGGUUUUGUAUCUGCAAUUGAGAAAUUUGGAGAUGUCAUGGUGACAGCAGAUCCAUGUAAAAUGAUAAUCCUGAAACAAAAGGAUAAACAAGUUCAGAUGAUGGUAGCCGUAACACCUUUAACUAUCAAUAGCCUGAAACCUUCAUUGCAGCAGACACUGGAUUCAACACUGACUUUU